CGUGUAGGCGGGUCUUUAAGUCAGGGGUGAAAUGCCGAGGCUCAACCUUGGAACUGCCUUUGAUACUGGAGACCUUGAGUCCGGGAGAGGUGAGUGGAACUGCGAGUGUAGAGGUGAAAUUCGUAGAUAUUCGCAAGAACACCAGUGGCGAAGGCGGCUCACUGGCCCGGAACUGACGCUGAGACGCGAAAGCGUGGGGAGCAAACAGGAUUAGAUACCCUGGUAGUCCACGCUGUAAACGAUGGAUGCUAGCCGUUGGGGAGCUUGCUCUUCAGUGGCGCAGCCAACGCUUUAAGCAUCCCGCCUGGGGAGUACGGUCGCAAGAUUAAA
rnacentral:rRNA from 1 species